rnacentral:rRNA from 1 species
UCCGUCCAUGCGGCGAGCCUGACGGAGCAUACCGCGUGGAGGAGGAAGGCCCGUGGGUCGUAAACUCCUUUUCUCAGAGAAGAACACAAUGACGGUAUCUGAGGAAUAAGCAUCGGCUAACUCCGUGCCAGCAGCCGCGGUAAU